GCUUACGGCCAUACCACCCUGAGCACGCCCGAUCUCGUCUGAUCUCGGAAGCUAAGCAGUGUCGGGCCUGGUUAGUAACUUGGAUGGGAGGACCCGCCUGGGAAUACCAGUGCUGUAAGCU
rnacentral:rRNA from 1 species